rnacentral:rRNA from 1 species
AGCGAACGCUGGCGGCGUGCCUAACACAUGCAAGUCGAACGUGAAAGGGAGCAAUCCCAAGUAAAGUGGCGUACGGGUGAGUAACACGUAGGUAAUCUACCCCAGAAUCUGGAAUAACCGGCCGAAAGGCUGGCUAAUACUGGAUAGAGCGACGGAAUCCGUAAUUGGGUUUUUCGGGAAAGGGAGCCUGUAAAAAGGCCUUCGUUCUGGGAUGAGCCUGCGUCCCAUCAGCUAGUUGGUGAGGUAAAAUCUUACCAAGGCGAUGACGGGUAGCUGGUCUGAGAGGACGAUCAGCCACACUGGGACUGAAACACGGUCCAGAGUCCUAGGGGAGGCAGCAGUGGGGAAUCGUGCGCAAUGGACGAAAGUCUGACGCAGCAACGCCGCGUGAGUGAGGAAGGCCUUCGGGUUGUAAAGCUCGGUCGAGUGGGACGAAAAUGCUUGGAGUUCACAGCUCCAGGAACUGACGGUACCACUAAAGGAAGCACCGGCUAACUCCGUG